GAUGAAGAACGCAGCGAAAUGCGAUAAGUAAUGCGAAUUGCAGAAUUCAGUGAAUCAUCGAAUUUUUGAACGCACAUUGCGCCCGCCAGUAUUCUGGCGGGCAUGCCUGUCUGAGCGUCGUUUCGACCCUCGCGCCCGGCUUCUGUCGGGGGCGGUGUUGGGGAUCGGCCACACCCUUCAGUGGGAGGCCGGCCCCCAAAUCUAGUGGCGGACCCGUCGUGGCCUCCCCUGCGAAGUAGUGAUAUUUCGCAUAGGAGAGCGACGAGCCCCUGCCGUUAAACCCCCAACUUUCUCAGGUUGACCUCAGAUCAGGUAGGAAUACCCGCUGAACUUAAGCAUAUCAAUAAGCGGAGGA
rnacentral:misc_RNA from 1 species